UAAUAUGUAUAUAGAUAAGUUUAAGAUAAGGUAUCGGGUAUAACCAUAAAAUUAUUGGAGAAAAAACUUAGUUCAGAAUAAUACACCAUUGUGUGAACUGGAUAUGGAAAGAGGGCGAAUGCCAGACAAAGACUACCGUAUAUUACAAGAAAACUAUGUUUUUUUGAUACAGAAUGUCGAGGCAAGGUAUCUUAUUCCUUAUCUUCAUCAAAUAAAUCUAAUAUCCACUGACGAUAUGGUAGUUUUAGAGAAUGAGGAAGUAAAUAAAGGACACACAGCAGGAAUGAAAAAGCUUAUUGAAAUAUUAAACUGGUCUGGAUAUAAUGCUUUAUCUGGUUUUAUAACAAGCUUACAGACAGCUGGUUACACCCAUGCUGUACAAAAACUGCAGGCAACAGGCAUAGAUAACAACAAUGAAGACCUGAAUAACAAUAUUCAAUACCAGUUACUAAACAUUGUGAUGAAUGAUGUAAAGCAACUAAAGGAGAAUGAUUUACGAGAAGAGGAACAAAUAAAAAAGUUGCAAGAUGAAGUCGAGUUGCUAAAAAUAAAAGGGAUGAAUGAUGUAAAGCAACUAAAGGAGAAUGAUUUACGAAAAGAGGAACAAAUAAAAAAGUUGAAAGAGUUGCUAAAAAUAAAAGGGAAGAAACUCUUCUCCACAAUAUAAAAAGCAACCAAAUGAUUAAACUUGAUAACCAAAAUAAUCUGUUUGGGUGAACUUUUCCUUUAAAGGGGCCAAACCUUUGGAAAUAUACAGCCAUAUUGUUCUGCAUAACUUCAGACAAUAUUUGCAAAACAGAAUCACUAACUUUAGAAAUAUCUUUUUAACAAAAUGCGUAUCUUGAGAAGUUUGACAAUAUUAACGUUUUCAAAUGAAAUGAAAAUGGAUUAUGAAGUGCUGUGUAUAUAAUUUGAAUAUUGUUUAUAAACUAUAGCAGGCUGCAUUAUGUAAGAGCUAUUUCGGCAUCAAAUGUUAUCAUUCAGACAUUUAUUCACAUGACAAGCUUAAGCCUAUAUAAAGAAUCUCCUACGAGUCUUUUUUGAUAUCAAAAAAUAUCAACUCAAGUCAAUAAUGUAAAAAGAACAUGGCCUUGCCGAGGUUUUUUUUUUUAUCGACAAGUGUUGAUAUUUGUUGAUGUCAAAAAAGGUGAGUAGAUGAUUUUAUUUAUCACCCAACCAUUUCCACCCUUUUUAAUUGACCAAUAAAAUUCAUGUAAAGCGAUACCUCCUAGGAGAAUAAGAAAUUUAUCACACAAGCAAUAUCUACUCUAGAAUGUGUUAUUGGGGGAUAAAAUCAACUCUCUAUACCAUUGGAUGGAGCAGAUGUAAACGAACUGAAAUACGAAAACCAUUUAAGAAUUUAAUUUAGAAAUGGAGAAGCGAGGCUGAGUCUCUCGUGUAACGUUGCUACAAUAAAACAAUCUAUGUCAAAUCUUCAAACAAUGAUAAUGUCACUCAGAAUAAAGUAAUUUAAACGUAA